CAGCAGCCGCGGUAAUACGGAGGGGGCUAGCGUUGUUCGGAAUUACUGGGCGUAAAGCGCACGUAGGCGGCUUUGUAAGUUAGAGGUGAAAGCCUGGAGCUCAACUCCAGAAUUGCCUUUAAGACUGCAUCGCUUAAAUCGCGGAGAGGUGAGUGGAAUUCCGAGUGUAGAGGUGAAAUUCGUAGAUAUUCGGAAGAACACCAGUGGCGAAGGCGGCUCACUGGACGUGUAUUGACGCUGAGGUGCGAAAGCGUGGGGAGCAAACAGGAUUAGAUACCCCAGUAGUCCCUGUCUCUUAUAC
rnacentral:rRNA from 1 species